rnacentral:rRNA from 1 species
UAAUACGUAGGGGGCUAGCGUUGUCCGGAAUCAUUGGGCGUAAAGAGCGUGUAGGCGGCCCGGUAAGUCCGCUGUAAAAGUCGGGGGCUCAACCCUCGAAAGCCGGUGGAUACUGUCGGGCUAGAGUACGGAAGAGGCGAGUGGAAUUCCUGGUGUAGCGGUGAAAUGCGCAGAUAUCAGGAGGAACACCGAUUGCGAAGGCAGCUCGCUGGGACGUCACUGACGCUGAGACGCGAAAGCGUGGGGAGCAAACAGGAUUAGAUACCCUGGUAGUCCACGCUGUAAACGAUGGGCACUAGGUGUGGGGGGUGUCGACUCCCCCCGUGCCGAAGCUAACGCAUUAAGUGCCCCGCCUGGGGAGUACGGCCGCAAGGCUA